UACGUAGGGUGCAAGAGUUGUCCGGAAUUACUGGGCGUAAAGCGCGUGUAGGCGGCCUUCUAAGUCUGGUGUGAAAGCCCGGGGCUCACCCCCGGAAGUGCAUUGGAUACUGGAAGGCUGGAGUACCGGAGAGGAGGGUGGAAUUCCUGGUGUAGCGGUGAAAUGCGUAGAUAUCAGGAGGAACACCUGUGGCGAAGGCGGCCCUCUGGACGGAUACUGACGAUGAGACGCGAAAGCGUGGGGAGCAAACAGG
rnacentral:rRNA from 1 species